GGUCCGCCGCCCGCGAUACUGCGAGAAGUCCAUUGAACCUUAUCAUUUAGAGGAAGGAGAAGUCGUAACAAGGUUUCCGUAGGUGAACCUGCGGAAGGAUCAUUG
rnacentral:rRNA from 1 species